rnacentral:other from 1 species
AAGUGGUUCACGCAGGUCAAUUCCCGUGAUUUCUUCUUGGCGGUCCGGCAGGUGGGCGCAAGCCCGUUAUCAAUUUCCCUAUAGGUAAUCACAUCAUGGCAAACGGAACCGUCAAGUGGUUCAAUGACGCGAAAGGCUUUGGCUUCAUCACCCCGGAUUCGGGCGGCAAGGACCUGUUCGCGCAUUUCUCCGCCAUCCAGGGCUCGGGAUUCAAGAGCCUCAAGGACGGACAGAAGGUAUCGUUCGACGUAACAACCGGCCCCAAGGGCGAGCAGGCGAUCAACAUCCGCCCCCUCUAAGCCUCGAACAGCAAUGAAGAAGGCUCGCUUCGGCGGGCCUUUUUUUU